GAGAUCAGCCUAUGUCCUAUCAGCUUGUUGGUAAGGUAAUGGCUUACCAAGGCUAUGACGGGUAUCCGGCCUGAGAGGGUGAACGGACACACUGGAACUGAGACACGGUCCAGACUCCUACGGGAGGCAGCAGUAGGGAAUAUUGCUCAAUGGGGGAAACCCUGAAGCAGCAACGCCGCGUGGAGGAUGAAGGUUUUAGGAUUGUAAACUCCUUUUGUUAGAGAAGAUAAUGACGGUAUCUAACGAAUAAGCACCGGCUAACUCCGUGCCAGCAGCCGCGGUAAUACGGAGGGUGCAAGCGUUACUCGGAAUCACUGGGCGUAAAGAGUGCGUAGGCGGGAUAGUCAGUCAGGUGUGAAAUCCUAUGGCUUAACCAUAGAACUGCAUUUGAAACUACUAUUCUAGAGUGUGGGAGAGGUAGGUGGAAUUCUUGGUGUAGGGGUAAAAUCCGUAGAGAUCAAGAGGAAUACUCAUUGCGA
rnacentral:rRNA from 1 species